UUUAAAAUAAUUAAAAAUAUUUAGAUCAAAAAUCGAUUAUUUUUCAAACAAAAAUAUGAAAGUGAUAAAUUUGCAAAUGUGGGGAAUAUUUAAUCCUUUUAAUCGAUUAUUUCAUUAAUGAAGUGGGUAUAAUGAUGAACGCAGACUUGGUUUUACUAGGGCAUGCAGAGGUUUUGCAAGAGAGAGAGAUCAUUUCUCGACUCUGAGAAAUCAAUCUCCUUUUGGCCCGGUGGCGGACUCCAAGUAAAGCCUUGAAGGAGCCUUGCUAACAUCCCUGCACACCCACGCCUUCCAGUACUGAAGGAAAUGAAGCGAAGAUUCUAGGGUUCCGGCCCAGCCCCAGACGGCUCAGAAGGACAUGACUGCCUUUGGGGAUAGAGUACCCAGCAACACUAGUCGGAUUCCUGAACUCGUCUAUCCUUUCCAACCACUCCAUCAAUUUCUUCACUGCUUUGCUCAAAAUCCCUGGUUGCUUGAUCAUUGCCUACUCAAUUGCAUUUGAUGGACUAUCGAAGCCUGCAAGCAUCAACUCCUGCAAAUUAUGGAAGGAUCAUAAUCUCAUGAUUGAUCAAGUUAUUUGCUGGCUAGGAAAUGAUCAUCAUGCAAUGUAGAUCAAAAGGUAAGCACAACACUACUACAAAAAUAAUUUAUGGUGUCAUUUUUAAAAUAAUGACACCAUAGGGUUUAUAAUUAAUAAAGGUGAUACAUCAUAUGAAAAUUCUUCAAUUGAGGUAGUUAGAUUAUGUUA